rnacentral:rRNA from 1 species
UGAACGCUGGCGGCAGGCCUAACACAUGCAAGUCGAGCGGAUGACAGGAGACUUGCUCCUGAAUUCAGCGGCGGACGGGUGAGUAAUGCCUAGGAAUCUAGCCUGGUAGUGGGGGACAACGUUUUCGAAAGGAACGCUAAUACCGCAUACGUCCUACGGGAGAAAGCAGGGGACCUUCGGGCCUUGCGCUAUCAGAUGAGCCUAGGUCGGAUUAGCUAGUUGGUGAGGUAAUGGCUCACCAAGGCGACGAUCCGUAACUGGUCUGAGAGGAUGAUCAGUCACACUGGAACUGAGACACGGUCCAGUACUCCUACGGGAGGCAGCAGUGGGGAAUAUUGGACAAUGGGCGAAAGCCUGAUCCAGCCAUGCCGCGUGUGUGAAGAAGGUCUUCGGGAUUGUAAAGCACGUUUAAGUUGGGAGGAAGGGGUUGUAGAUUAAUACUCUGCAAUUUUGACGUUACCGACAG